ensembl:snRNA U6 U6 spliceosomal RNA
GUGUUUGCUUCAGCAGCACAUGUACUAAAACUGGAAGCCGACAGAGAUUAGCAUGGCCCCUGAACAAGGAUGAUGUGUAAAUCCAUUAAACACCCAUUAUUAAA